UUCUUCCGCCUAGUCCAUCGCAACGCAACACCCGGCCAAAUGCGCGUGCGCAACCUUAGUCUCCGCCCUCCUUUCCCGUCAUGCUCCACAUGUGAGCUGGGCGUAUCUUCCCAGCAUUCCUCUUUCUUCAGUCAUGGCUGACUUCUUAAAGAGGUCAAGCUCAAUUGUGAAAACAUAGAGGAAAAGGGGGUGGCUAGUAUUAGGGAGCUUUAGGUGGCGCUUAAGUACUCCACACCGUUCUCUAAUGCCCAUUUCCAGAAAAGUGGCCUGCUAAGAGAACCUAAUAAUAAUAGUUGACAUUUAUUAAUCCAGGUGCAUCAUCUCACUUAAUCCUCUUCUCAAUCCUGAGGUGCAAAUUCUUGUAUCACAGAGAUACACUUGAACAGAUUAAUUAACAUGUGUCAAGUAAAGAUUUGAUUUUUUUUUUAAUUCAACAUUGUUUUUGAGAUACACCCAUGAUUUGUCAGGCUAUCGUUCAUUCAUUUUGAUGGCUGGGUAGUAUUUCUUUUUAUGAAUAUGCCACAAUUUAGCCAUCUACUAUGGCGCAGUGGUUAAAGCCAUGACUGCUAACUAAAAGGUAGGCAGUUUGAAACCACUUGUGGCUCCACGGGAGAAAGAUUUGGCAGUCUGCUUCCAUAGAGAUUUACAGCCUUGGAGACGGUAUGGGGUCACUAUGAGCCAACUCUAUGGCAGUGGGUUUGGUUUUGAGUUUGCUAUUGAUGGACUUUUGCAUAGUCUACUGUUUUUGGCUAUUAGGAAUAAUAGUGCUGUGAACAUUGGUAUCUUUUGUGGCACAUGUGCACAUAUUUCUGUUAGGUUUAUGUAUAGCAGUGAAAUUGCUUGUUACCCAUACAUAAAUUAAGGAGAUAAUCUCAGUUUUUGAAAACGGAUAUAUCAAUAUACACUCCCAUCAUACAUGUAUGAGAGUUCCAGUUGUUCCACAUUCUUGCUAAUAAUUACUAUUGUACAUCUCUUAAAAUUUAACCAUUCUGGUGGGAAUAUAGUGGUAGCUCAUUGUAGUUUUAAUUUGUAUUUCGCAGAUUACUAAUGAGGUUGAGCCCAUUUUCAUGUUUUUUGAUGUCUGGAUAUCAAGUCUCUUAUCCAUUUUUGUAAUGAAUUGUCAUUUUCUUAUAGACCUAUAUUCUGAAUAUGAGUCUUUGUUGACUUUAUGUAUUGCAAAUAUUUUCUCUUGCACAGUGGCUUGCUUUCUCACUCUGUUAUUGGUAACUUUUGCUGAACAUAAGACUUUGAUGCUUAGUGCUUCUUGUAUCCUCUUUAAGAAAUAUUUCCCCACCUUAAGGUCUUUAUUAACUACUGGAAAUAUAACUACUUUGCCUUCCAUAUUUAGAUCUACAAUCUACCUGGAGUUGUGUUUUGUGUAUGAUGUGAGUUUGAUAUCACUCGUCCAAUGUACACUAGUGUUUUGGGAAUAAACAUCGAAGGGGACACCCAUUGAUCCUAAGGCUGAAUUUAAGAUACAUGUGGAGAAGAUUAGAGUUAUCUUAAUUAAACCCAUAAUAAUGUCGGAAAUGCACUUCUAUAUCCAGUGAAAAUACUCUUCAAGAAUGAAAGGAAAAUAAAGAUCAUGGAACAUCCAGAAUGAAGGGAUGACAACGG